CGCAACGAGCGCAACCCCUAUCUCUAGUUGCCAGCGGAUAAUGCCGGGAACUCUAGAGAGACUGCCUCGGAAAUCGAGGAGGAGGGUGGGGAUGACGUCAAGUCCUCAUGGCCUUUAUGUCCAGGGCUACACACGUGCUACAAUGGCCGGUACAGCGGGGAGCUAAGCCGCGAGGUGGAGCAAAUCCCUGAAAACCGGUCUCAGUUCAGAUUGCAGUCUGCAACUCGACUGCAUGAAGUCGGAAUCGCUAGUAAUCGUGGAUCAGAACGCCACGGUGAAUACGUUCCCGGGCCUUGUACACACCGCCCGUCACGCCAUGGAAGUCGGUAGCACCCAAAGUCGCUGGCCCAACCUUCGGGAGGGAGGCGCCAAAGGUGAGAUCGAUGACUGGGGCGAAGUCGUAACAAGGUAGCCGUACCGGAAGGUGCGGCUGGAUCACCUCCUUUCUAGGGAGA
rnacentral:rRNA from 1 species